CUACCCGCCGGCGACCGGCGCACGGGUGAGUAACACGUAUGAAACCUGCCCGUAGCAGGGGGAUAAGCGGAAGAAAUUCCGUCUAAUACCGCGUAACAACCCAUGGAGGCAUCUCUGUGGGUUUAAAGGAAGCGAUUCCGGCUACGGAUGGUCAUGCGUCGCAUUAGCUUGUUGGCGGGGUAACGGCCCACCAAGGCGACGAUGCGUAGGGGUUCUGAGAGGAAGGUCCCCCACACUGGUACUGAGACACGGACCAGACUCCUACGGGAGGCAGCAG
rnacentral:rRNA from 1 species